AAAGUAGCGAAGCACACAGACCAUCUGUCGAGAAAAGCCGCUAUUGUGUAUACCGUACCCGUACCGUAAACCGACACAGGUGGAUGAGGAGAGAAUCCUAAGGCCGGCGGGAGAAGCAUUGUUAAGGAACUCGGCAAAAUGACCCCGUAACUUCGGGAGAAGGGGUGCUCACGCAAGUGAGCCGCAGAGAACUGGCCCAAGCAACUGUUUAGCAAAAACACAGGUCUAUGCAAAACCGAAAGGUGAGGUAUAUGGGCUGACGCCUGCCCGGUGCUGGAAGGUUAAGAGGAGAUGUUAGAGCAAUCGAAGCAUUGAAUUUAAGCCCCAGUAAACGGCGGCCGUAACAUAACGGUCCUAAGGUAACGAAAUUCCUUGUCGGGUAAGUUCCGACCCGCACGAAAGGCGUAAUGAUUUGGGCACUGUCUCGACAAUGCACCCGGUGAAAUUGAAAUACCAGUGAAGAUGCUGGUUACCUGCGCCAGGACGGAAAGACCCCAUGGAGCUUUACUCUAGCUUGAUACUGGGAUUCUGUAUUGCAUGUACAGGAUAGGUGGGAGACUAAGAGGUGAUGACGCCAGUUGUCACGGAGUCGAUGUUGGGAUACCACCCCUGCAGUACUGGGUUUCUAACCUGCGGCCGUGACCCGGCCGGGGGACAAUGUCUGGUGGGGAGUUUGACUGGGGCGGUCGCCUCCGAAAGGGUAUCGGAGGCGCUCAAAGGUUCCCUCAGAAUGGUUGGAAACCAUUCGAAGAGUGCAAAGGCAGAAGGGAGCUUGACUGCGACACCGACGGGUGGAGCAGGUACGAAAGUAGGACUUAGUGAUCCGGUGGUAUGAAAGUGGGAUUGCCAUCGCUCAACGGAUAAAAGCUACCCUGGAUAACAGGCUUAUCACUCCCAAGAGUUCACAUCGACGGAGUGGUUUGGCACCUCGAUGUCGGCUCAUCGCAUCCUGGGGCUGUAGUAGGUCCCAAGGGUUGGGCUGUUCGCCCAUUAAAGCGGUACGCGAGCUGGGUUCAGAACGUCGUGAGACAGUUCGGUCCCUAUCCGGCGUGGGCGUAGGAUAUCUGAGAGGAGCUGUCCUUAGUACGAGAGGACCGGGAUGGACUGACCUCUGGUGCAUCGGUUGAGCCACCAGGCUCAUGGCCGAGUAGCCAAGUCGGGACGGGAUAAACGCUGAAGGCAUCUAAGCGUGAAGCCCCCCUCAAGAUGAGAUAUCCCAUAGAGUAAUCUAGUAAGACCCCUUGAAGACGACGAGGUAGAUAGGCAGAAGGUGGAAGUGUGGUGACAUAUGGAGCUGAUCUGUACUAAUAGGUCGAGGGCUUAAC
rnacentral:rRNA from 1 species